GACAGAGUGAGAGAGAGGGUGACUAGUGACAGAGUGAGGAAGGGGGUGACACAGUGACAGAGUGAGUGACUAGUGACAGAGUGAAGGAGGUGGUGACUGUCACUAGUCACCCCCUUCCCUCCCUCACUCUGUCACUAGUCACCCCUUCCUCACUUUGUCAC